GACCAUUAUAAUGGCAGCACACACUCACAUCCGGUUCCGUAAUGCCUUAUUUCAUUCCGUCUCCCCAGCACUUGGCACUGGUGCUGACACUUUCCUGGUUAGAUGGAUGUGAAUGGACAGAUGGCCUGGUUUGCCGUAGAUCAGGUUUAGAAAAAAGAAAAACAAAGCCAAAUCUUAAGUUAGAGUGUGAAGGCUUGCACGGGGAUUCUGCCUCUGCCUCCGCCAAGCUGCCCAGACAGGGGAGUCAAACCCUGAGCACGUCCACAGAUUUAGUGUUUUUAUUAUGAAAGCAAUACAUGCUCAUCAUCACUAAAGUCCAGAACUGUAAGAAUUUCCCCAUCUCGUCUCCCACUAACAGUGCGCCUAUCCAAUCGGCCAGGAAACCCUGUUGGCUCCAUCUUCAAAAUAUGUUCUGAGUUCAACCAUUUCUUCCAUCUUCACUGUGACUGCUUGGGUGGGGCCACCACCACAUCUUGUCCAAGGUCACUAUAGCCUGCCAUCUGGUCUCCCCACUUCUCCCUGCCCCCACAGGCUAUCUCAACCCAAGCGUCCUUUAAAAGAGAAGUUAGAUCGUGUCACUCCUCUGCUCACAACCCUCCAGUGGCUCCCUACUUGCUCCAAAGGAAAAGCCAAUGUCCUUACGCAGGCCUAUAAAGCCCUACAGCCAUGCUGUCCGAGGAGCUGACCGCUGGCCGCAUGUGGCUGUACAGCGCUUGAGAUGUGGUCCAUUGGAAUUGAGAUGUCAAAUACACACUGGAUUUUGAGGAAUUCCUUUGAAAAAAAAAAGAAUGUAAACAUUGAUGUUUGCCAGAAGUGAGGGCUAGAGGGUGGGAGAAAUGAGUGAAGGGAGUGAGAAGAUACAAACUUCCAGUUAUAGGAUAACUAAGUCCUGGGGAUGUAAUGCACAGCAUGGUGACUAUAGUUAAUAAUACUGUAUCGCAUAUUAGAAAGUUGCUAAGAGACUAGACCUUAAAAGUUCUCAUCACAAGAAAAAAAAUUGUAACUGUAAGGUGGGGAUGUUAACUAAACAUUGUGCUAAUCAUUUUGUGAUGUAUGCAUACAUCAAAUCAUGUUGUACAUCUUUAACUAAUACAAUGUUACAUGUUAAUUAUAUCUCAAUAAAACUGG
rnacentral:lncRNA from 1 species